rnacentral:lncRNA from 1 species
GGAAGUGGCGCGCGCGGGGCCUGUGGCGGCGGUGGGGCCGGGCCGGGCGGCCGCGCUUCGACACCGGCGCAGAACCAUCAUGAAAAUGUUUACUUUGAUGCCAAGAGCCCAACUUCACUAGGAACUCACCAUCCAACUGCUUGAAGACACCUGUCCUUAGUUGAAUACUGGGACUCAUUAGACAAUGGGCACUGCAUAUUAAGCAGGGGUGGAAGACU